ensembl:lncRNA
GCAAGCGCAGCUUAAGAAAAAGAAUAAGCGCCUCAGUCUCGUUUUCAGCUGAAAAAGAUGAUGGCAAAAAAGGCAGGUUUUUCUAGUCAUGAUAAGUGGAAAUAAUCAGGUAAGAGCUAGGUUCUGACUGAGCUUUACACUGAGCUCAGGGCCCUGCACUGGCCCGUGCUGAGGGGGCCCCAGGGGCUCUGCCUGGGGGCAGCAUUCAGUCUGGGGUGGUACAUCCUCUCAGUGGUACCCCUCAGCACCCCCUGGAGCCCCAGGGAAUGUCUAUUAAGCACCAUUCAGAACAGGAGAACUACCUUCCUCCCUACUCUCACCCAUUCCUGCCCUCAGAUCACCAACCAGAUCUUCAACCCAUAGGGGUGGAAGUCGGAAGAUAAACAGCCCAGCUUCUUCCAUUCUCAGGAAAAAGGAAAAUUCUAAAGUGUAUUCCAUAAGAGUCACACGGAGUAAGUGGCAGUCCUAAAAUAUGUCAACAAAUUCUUUGAACUUCAGUCUUUAAAAAGGUGAAGCCCAAUUCCCCUGCCCUCAAAUGCAAGCGACAUUAAGUGACACUUCUAAUGACUAGAACAUGAUGAGACUUCCAAGCUGAGGCGGUGAAAACGCGGCCUCUAGGGAAAGCCAGAGCCAUGUCGUGAGAACACAGGCAGCUCACGGGGAGGCCCGCACAGCAAGGGACGAGGCGUCCCACCAACAACCAGCGCCCGCGCACCAGCCGCGUGGUGGAGCCACCUUGGAGACGGAUCCUGCACCCCUUCCAGCCUUCAGAUGCUGCUGCUCCGACCACCAUCUUGACUAUAAUCUUACCAGAGGUCUUGAGCCAGAGCUGCCCAGAUAAGCCAGUUCUGAAUCCCUCAGCUACAGGAAAUUUUUCCAAUAUCCCAGCUCUACUUGGUGUCACUGUAUUUUUUCCACUGAGCCUAACUGACAGAAGAGAACUCAUGUGGGCUUUGGAACCAAACGAGUCACGCAGGCUGUGUGACCUUGAUAAAGGCACCUUAUGUCUCUGGACUCUUGUAUAAGAUGGAAAUGAGGCCCCUCCCACAGGAUGGAUAUGAGCAUCAAAUGAGAAACCGAAAGAAACUUCUAGCACAGUCUUAAUAUGCAGUAGGCACUCGAUGAAGUCUUCCUGUCUCUUAUAUCCACAUGACUGCCACGUCCAUUAAUGUCAGAGGUUCUCAAUCUUCUCCCCGUGACUUAUUUUCUUCUGCCUUGGAUCCCAUUCCCCGAAGCACCUGCCUUCAAUCUCCAAGUCACAUGGUUUCACACUAAAAUUCCCCCAAAGACUUCCUAUUUACUGAAGGAAUACUACCGAAGUAAUCAGGAAAAUUGGCUUUGAGAUCAUUCAUAGAAAUAGACAGGUUUAAAAUUCAGCCAGGAGCAAGAGUGUCAGCACCUUAGCGUGAAUAAUUUCUAGUUACAGACAAAUGAUGAUGGAACAUUAGACUCUUCUUCCAGCUUCAUGGACAAUCAAUCUAAAGAAGAUGGUUUCCUUGAAAUAUGGAGACAACUAAAAAUUCUCAAAAGCAGCCUAUGCUGUAAGCUAAGCUGGGUGAGGGGUCUUGUCUUUCCUAUUUGGCAAGCCCAGGUCUGGGUGCAGGGUCUGCCCAUGGCAGCCACCAGCAGUGGAGAGAAGGACAUGUCACCCAGACCGCCUUCAAGGAAGAACCUGCUGUCCUCUGCACACAGCCUUCAGUCAUUGACACCUUCAGAAAUUGCUUCAACUGUGCCUUCUCUUGCCUGAGGUCAUGGUCUUCCCAGGACAGCCUUCAUUCCAUGGAUGAGCAAGGCAAGGAGACAGAGGCACAGCCAUUCUGACCAAAUGUGCCCACAGGACAACCCCAACAGACAUCAUCUGCUCCAAGUCCCCCCAGAGACUUCUGGUUUGAUCAUGCCAUGGUGUGACUCCUCCCUCUGUCCAAUAAAUAUUGGUUCCUAAUAAAUACU